GUUGGAGAGAAAGUGAGCGAACCAGUCCCGCGUUGUAAAGCAACAACAUUGGAUGGGCUAUUUGCCUGGCAGCUCUGGAACUGUGGUAAGGCAAGGAGCUUCCAAAAGUUUUCUCAGUACAAUCACUUGGUAAACUUUAAUAAGCAGUUGAGAAGUUUAUCUAGAAAUAAAACGUAAUAAUAAUCCCAAGAGAAAAU
rnacentral:lncRNA from 1 species